UACGGAGGGUGCAAGCGUUAAUCGGAAUUACUGGGCGUAAAGCGCACGCAGGCGGUCAACUAAGUCAGAUGUGAAAUCCCCGGGCUUAACCUGGGAAUGGCAUUUGAAACUGGUUGACUAGAGUUUCGUAGAGGGGGGUAGAAUUCCAGGUGUAGCGGUGAAAUGCGUAGAGAUCUGGAGGAAUACCAAUGGCGAAGGCAGCCCCCUGGACGGUAACUGACGCUCAGGUGCGAAAGCGUGGGGAGCAAACAGG
rnacentral:rRNA from 1 species